UGUAACUCUCAUUGUAUAGCUUGGCUAGUAAAAAAAAAAAAAAAAAUCAUUCCAGUCCUUUUAUUGUUAAUCAUGCUUUAUCUGCGAUCGGGGAGGGAGAAACGCCUUAACAGUUAUUUCAUAACUAUAGUGUCAGGAAUACAUGUUUCUAAUGUUCCUUUAUGUUGGGGAACUGUCAGGUUUAAAAGGGUUUCUGAAUCCAGCACAAAAACAGCUGUUACUUGUAUUUUUAUUUAUUUUUCCUGUUACUAUAUGACUUUAUGUUGACUUAUGGUCUAGUGCAGUGCUGCCCAAUAGGUUUGGCAUCAUGAGAGUUGUAGUUCCACUACAUCUCGGGAUCUACUUAUCGCGCAGCCCUGGUAUAGGGAAAUUAAAUGAUGCCAGUAGCUUCCGACCUUCGAUUUUCCUGACUUUAUGAUUUUAUCAUAUGGAAGGUGUUUCUGUUGACAUUAGUGUGGCAUUACAUUUAUGUCUAUAGUACACUCUCUUAAAACUGCUCUCAAAGCACAAUCUCUCCAGUUCAUUGUAAUGGCUAUAACGCAAGUGUCUUGGGGCACCAUUUCCCCAAUAAGUACCACGAGCCAUAUUUUACACGAACUAGGGGAGACUGCACUGAGAGACUCAUUGCCCCAUAACUGUUAAAAUGAGCUGUAUUUGUGAUCAUGCUCAGUAUCCUUUUUUUUUAAAUGCAAGCAUGCACUGUGCCAUGUGCUUACUUCAGAAUGUGAAGUAAUAUCUGCAGGUGGACAUUCUUUCUAUUUAUUUAAUUUAGUUUGAUGAUCACGGCUUAAAAUUGCACGUCUUGCCCUACUAGCCAGCCCUUACUAGUUACUUACCGCUGCAAACCUCAGACAGCCCAUGAAAUACUUGCGAAAAGCUACAUUUCAUUUGCCAAUGGCGCAGGGAAAUUGAGUCUCAGGAAGGGGGAGGACUUUCUCAUUUAUGACAAAUUCUCAUGUAACACUUUUAAAUACAGCAGGGCAUACGGCACGUCUGUCUCUGACAUGCCAAAACCUGUAACUCGCCUUGAUACAUGGCUCGGAUACGUGAUUGAAGAGCAUUCUUUGACAUCGUGAAACUUUUUAUUUUUUGCACUACUUUUCUUGACAUGUCCCAUUUGAAUGGAUGGCUAGCUAUUUAUUAUAAGAACAGCAAACUCCCUCCUUGACCAAGUCACAGACAGUCUUUUGUCCACGAGAAGGACUGCAAAUAUCACUUGUGUUUGCUGUAUCCAGCAGGUUAAAGGUCUUUAUGUAAGCUUUGCUCUUCCCAUGGGAUUUUGUUCAGGAUUUAAAUGACCUACACAUUCUAUAGCUCUGAGAGAAUUCACUGUAGAAAUAACUGGAGAAAAGGGAUUUUCCUUGAAAUGUGUUAAAAUUAGGCAAUCGCUCUAUUAAGAUUUUCAAUUUCCAUAUAACGUUUAGUGUUCAUGAGCUUGACUGGAUUUAGCUAUAUAACUUGAUAAAUUGUUUUAUUGUUGCCCUUUGUUCUUAGUUAAAUGUUUAUAGAGUGACCUUAUCUACAGACUUGUGCAAAAAUGUAUUUGUCGGAAUAAAAUUCUUGUUGAUCAAACCUGAUCGGAACAGACUCCAGAUCGAUCACACCUGUACAGGUGAAACCACUCGGAAUCUGUUUACUCGAUGAUUGCCAGGAAUUUGAUUCAGAAAAAUCGUCUCAAACAAAUUUUUGAACAUGUCUAGUUCUCAAUAAAAGUAGAUUUCUGAAUGAGUGGAGAAGAUUCUGCAGAGAGCGAAGCCAUUUCUCUGCUGACUUUGUUUUUAGCAUCAUGACUACUCUCUGUAAGAUGUCAGGUGUCAUCUCACUAUAUGUUGUACCCAUUUAAUCCCAGCACAAUAACUGCUCGUUGCAUCACAAGCUUCAUUGUGAUUGCAAUGAGGAUCUAAAUUAGUAUAAACAUUAGAAGAAUGGAUGAUGAUAUAUCUCUAACUCUUAUUGUCACAGCUUAGAUAUUUUUACUUAAAGGGUUACUCAUAGCACCAUAACCACUGCAGUCAUAUUAAGGGGGCAUGAUGCCUGGAGUUUGUUAAUGGCGUUAUAUUGUUGUGGAGGUUGAAGGGAUUGCUAUGUUGAAAAACUGAUAGAUGGGAUAUACUGUUAUUAUCCCUAUUUGGGAAAACAGAUAUUUGAAAGUUUCUGUUUAGUCUGUUGCUAUUUUUAUAUAUAUAUAUAU
rnacentral:lncRNA from 1 species